AAAACAUAGCCCUUAGAUAUUAUUAAGGGUAAUAUCUGCCCAAUGAGUAUAUUGAAUGGCCGCGGUACCUUGACCGUGCUAAGGUAGCAUAAUCAGUUGGCUUUUAAUUGAAGUCUGGAAUGAAUGGGAAUACGGGAUUCAGCUGUAUGUUUCUUUUUAAUUCAAAUUUACUAACUAGGUGAAAAGGCCUAUAAGAGAAAAAGGACGAGAAGACCCUAAGAAUUUGGAAGAAUUUUCGUUGGGGCGACGGGAGGUCUUAAACGCCUCUUACUAUAUGGGACGGUUUUAACAAGAAAAGAAAAAUUACCUUAGGGAUAACAGCACAAUUCUUUUUGGGUUUGUGACCUCGAUGUUGGACUAGGAAAUGCUUAGGCUAGCCGCCUAAGUAUAUAAUUCUGUUCGAAUUCAUUGUUCCUACGUGAUCU
rnacentral:rRNA from 1 species